GAGCUAUGAGGAUAUCUUGAUAUUGAUCAAUUUGGCAUGAUUGUAUUAUACGCUAUUCUGAGCUCUGU